rnacentral:rRNA from 1 species
AGCGUACACGGUGGAUGCCCUGGCAGUCAGAGGCGAUGAAGGACGUGCUAAUCUGCGAAAAGCGUCGGUAAGGUGAUAUGAACCGUUACAGCCGGCGAUGUCCGAAUGGGGAAACCCAGUGCAAUUCGUUGCACUAUCGUUUGAUGAAUACAUAGUCAAACGAGGCGAACCGGGGGAACUGAAACAUCUAAGUACCCCGAGGAAAAGAAAUCAACCGAGAUUCCCCCAGUAGCGGCGAGCGAACGGGGAGCAGCCCGGAGUCUGAAUCAGCUUGUGUGUUAGUGGAAGCGUCUGGAAAGUCGCAGGGUACAGGGUGAUACUCCCGUACACUAAAACGCACAGGCUGUGAACUCGAAGAGUAGGGCGGGACACGUGGUAUCCUGUCUGAAUAUGGGGGGACCAUCCUCCAAGGCUAAAUACUCCUGACUGACCGAUAGUGAACCAGUACCGUGAGGGAAAGGCGAAAAGAACCCCGGCGAGGGGAGUGAAAAAGAACCUGAAACCGUGUACGUACAAGCAGUAGGAGCCCACUUGUUGGGUGACUGCGUACCUUUUGUAUAAUGGGUCAGCGACUUAUAUUCUGUAGCAAGGUUAACCGUAUAGGGGAGCCGCAGGGAAACCGAGUCUUAACUGGGCGUUAAGUUGCAGGGUAUAGACCCGAAACCCGGUGAUCUAGCCAUGGGCAGGUUGAAGGUUGGGUAACACUAACUGGAGGACCGAACCGACUAAUGUUGAAAAAUUAGCGGAUGACUUGUGGCUGGGGGUGAAAGGCCAAUCAAACCGGGAGAUAGCUGGUUCUCCCCGAAAGCUAUUUAGGUAGCGCCUCGUGAAUUCAUCUUCGGGGGUAGAGCACUGUUUCGGCUAGGGGGUCAUCCCGACUUACCAACCCGAUGCAAACUACGAAUACCGAAGAAUGUUAUCACGGGAGACACACGGCGGGUGCUAACGUCCGUCGUGAAGAGGGAAACAACCCAGACCGCCAGCUAAGGUCCCAAAGUCAUGGUUAAGUGGGAAACGAUGUGGGAAGGCCCAGACAGCCAGGAUGUUGGCUUAGAAGCAGCCAUCAUUUAAAGAAAGCGUAAUAGCUCACUGGUCGAGUCGGCCUGCGCGGAAGAUGUAACGGGGCUAAACCAUGCACCGAAGCUGCGGCAGCGACACUAUGUGGUGUUGGGUAGGGGAGCGUUCUGUAAGCCUGUGAAGGUGGCCUGUGAGGGUUGCUGGAGGUAUCAGAAGUGCGAAUGCUGACAUAAGUAACGAUAAUGCGGGUGAAAAACCCGCACGCCGGAAGACCAAGGGUUCCUGUCCAACGUUAAUCGGGGCAGGGUGAGUCGACCCCUAAGGCGAGGCCGAAAGGCGUAGUCGAUGGGAAACAGGUUAAUAUUCCUGUACUUGGUGUUACUGCGAAGGGGGGACGGAGAAGGCUAUGUUGGCCGGGCGACGGUUGUCCCGGUUUAAGCGUGUAGGCUGGUUUUCCAGGCAAAUCCGGAAAACCAAGGCUGAGGCGUGAUGACGAGGCACUACGGUGCUGAAGCGACAAAUGCCCUGCUUCCAGGAAAAGCCUCUAAGCAUCAGGUAACAUCAAAUCGUACCCCAAACCGACACAGGUGGUCAGGUAGAGAAUACCAAGGCGCUUGAGAGAACUCGGGUGAAGGAACUAGGCAAAAUGGUGCCGUAACUUCGGGAGAAGGCACGCUGAUAUGUAGGUGAAGUGAUUUACUCAUGGAGCUGAAAUCAGUCGAAGAUACCAGCUGGCUGCAACUGUUUAUUAAAAACACAGCACUGUGCAAACACGAAAGUGGACGUAUACGGUGUGACGCCUGCCCGGUGCCGGAAGGUUAAUUGAUGGGGUUAUCCGUAAGGAGAAGCUCUUGAUCGAAGCCCCGGUAAACGGCGGCCGUAACUAUAACGGUCCUAAGGUAGCGAAAUUCCUUGUCGGGUAAGUUCCGACCUGCACGAAUGGCGUAAUGAUGGCCAGGCUGUCUCCACCCGAGACUCAGUGAAAUUGAACUCGCUGUGAAGAUGCAGUGUACCCGCGGCAAGACGGAAAGACCCCGUGAACCUUUACUAUAGCUUGACACUGAACACUGGUCCUUGAUGUGUAGGAUAGGUGGGAGGCUUUGAAGUGUGGACGCCAGUCUGCAUGGAGCCAUCCUUGAAAUACCACCCUUUAAUGGCUGGUGUUCUAACGUGGGCCCCUAAUCGGGGUUGCGGACAGUGUCUGGUGGGUAGUUUGACUGGGGCGGUCUCCUCCUAAAGAGUAACGGAGGAGCACGAAGGUCAGCUAAUCCUGGUCGGACAUCAGGAGGUUAGUGCAAUGGCAUAAGCUGGCUUGACUGCGAGCGUGACGGCGCGAGCAGGUGCGAAAGCAGGUCAUAGUGAUCCGGUGGUUCUGAAUGGAAGGGCCAUCGCUCAACGGAUAAAAGGUACUCCGGGGAUAACAGGCUGAUACCGCCCAAGAGUUCAUAUCGACGGCGGUGUUUGGCACCUCGAUGUCGGCUCAUCACAUCCUGGGGCUGAAGUAGGUCCCAAGGGUAUGGCUGUUCGCCAUUUAAAGUGGUACGCGAGCUGGGUUUAGAACGUCGUGAGACAGUUCGGUCCCUAUCUGCCGUGGGCGCUGGAGAAUUGAGGGGGGCUGCUCCUAGUACGAGAGGACCGGAGUGGACGCAUCACUGGUGUUCGGGUUGUCAUGCCAAUGGCAUUGCCCGGUAGCUAAAUGCGGAAGAGAUAAGUGCUGAAAGCAUCUAAGUACGAAACUUGCCCCGAGAUGAGUUCU